GACGAACGCUGGCGGCGUGCCUAACACAUGCAAGUCAACUUGACUGAAGGAGCAAUCUGACAGUAGAGUGGCGCAAGGGUGCGUAACGCGUAAGUAACUUGCCCAAGGUAAGGAAUAACGUCGAGAAAUCGGCGCUAAUACCUCAUAAUGCAGCGGAUCCGCAUGGAUAUGUUGUUAAAGGUUUACCGCCUUGGGAUAGGCUUGCGUCUGAUUAGCUAGUUGGUGUGGUAACGGCACACCAAGGCUACGAUCAGUAACUGGUCUGAGAGGAUGAUCAGUCACACUGGAACUGAGACACGGUCCAGACUCCUACGGGAGGCAGCAGUGAGGAAUAUUGGGCAAUGCUCGAAAGAGUGACCCAGCAACGCCGCGUGGAGGAUGAAGGUAUUCUAUAUCGUAAACUCCUGUGAGAACAGACGAAAGACAGGUUAUUAAUCUGGAUGACUGUAUGCUCAGAGGAAGCCCCGGCUAAC
rnacentral:rRNA from 1 species